rnacentral:rRNA from 1 species
UACGGAGGGUGCAAGCGUUAUCCGGAUUUACUGGGUUUAAAGGGUGCGUAGGUGGGUCUGUAAGUCAGUGGUGAAAUCUCCCGAGCUUAACUCGGAAACUGCCAUUGAUACUAUAGGUCUUGAAUUAUCUGGAGGUAAGCGGAAUAUGUCAUGUAGCGGUGAAAUGCUUAGAUAUGACAUAGAACACCAAUUGCGAAGGCAGCUUACUACGGAUAUAUUGACACUGGAGGCACGAAAGCGUGGGGAUCAAACAGG